rnacentral:piRNA from 1 species
UNGCUAUUCCCAGAAAUCGACCUCAGCC